rnacentral:SRP_RNA from 1 species
UUGACUAUACCAUAUAAACAUUACUCUUGGGUACUAGAGUGGAGGGCACUGCGUGAGGCUGGUUUCACAGAGCAACGACAACCUCCCGCUCCCAUCAGUGGAUGGAUAACGG